rnacentral:rRNA from 1 species
GACGAACGCUGGCGGCGUGCUUAACACAUGCCAGUCGAACGGAAAGGCCUGCUUUCCCUUGUGGAUUGCGGGUACUCGAGUGGCGAACGGGUGAGUAACACGUGAGUGAUCUGCCCCCAACUUGGGUAUAAGCCUGGGAAACUGGGUCUAAUUCCCGAUAGUACUGCAGGGUGGUGCCUGUGGUGGAAAACGAUUUUCUAGUGGUUGGGGAUGAGCUCGCGGCCUAUCAGCUUGUUGGUGGGGUAAUGGCCUACCAAGGCGGCGACGGGUAGCCGGCCUGAGAGGGUGGACGGCCACAUUGGGACUGAGAUACGGCCCAGACUCCUACGGGAGGCAGCAGUGGGGAAUAUUGCACAAUGGGCGGGAGCCUGAUGCAGCGACGCCGCGUGGGGGAUGACGGCCUUCGGGUUGUAAACUCCUUUCGACCGAGAGGAAGCCACCUGGUUGGAAGGGUGGUGACGGUAGUGGUAGAAGAAGCACCGGCUAACUACGUG